GUAACGGGCGGCACUAGAGUAAGACGUGAAACACCCGAUUCCAUUCCGACCCCGAUACGUGAAAAGCGUUUUACGCCAUAUGUACUGAGAACUCUCGGGAGACGUGGUUCGACCGCCCUGGCAG
rnacentral:rRNA from 2 species